rnacentral:misc_RNA from 1 species
CGAAAUGCGAUAAGUAAUGUGAAUUGCAGAAUUCAGUGAAUCAUCGAAUCUUUGAACGCACAUUGCGCCCGCCAGUAUUCUGGCGGGCAUGCCUGUUCGAGCGUCAUUUCAACCAUCAAGCACCGGCUUGUGUUGGGGACCUGCGGCUGCCGCAGGCCCCGAAAACCAGUGGCGGGCUCGCUGUCACUCCGAGCGUAGUAGUAUCACCUCGCUCAGGGCGUGCCGCGGGUUCCGGCCGUUAAAGCACCCACUACCCAAGGUUGACCUCGGAUCAGGUAGGAAUACCCGCUGAACUUAAGC